rnacentral:lncRNA from 1 species
UGGUGGAAGGUAUGUUGGUAGUGUAUGAUUGGUUGAAGGUAUGUUGGUAGUGUAUGAUUGGUGGAAGGUAUGUUGGUAGUGUAUGAUUGGUGGAAGGUAUGUGGUGAAGGUAUUGGUAUAUAUUGGUGGAAGGUAUGUUGGUAGUGUAUGAUUGGUGGAAGGUAUGUUGGAAGUGUAUGAUUGGUGGAAGGUAUGUUGGUAGUGUAUGAUUGGUGGAAGGUAUGUUGGUAGUGUAUUAUUGGUGGAAGGUAUGUUGGUAGUGUAUGAUUGGUGGAAGGUAUGUUGGUAGUGUAUGAUUGGUGGAAGGUGUAUGUUGGUAGUGUAUGAUUGGUGGAAGGUAUGUUGGUAGUGUAUGAUUGGUGGAAGGUAUGUUG